UACGUAGGGUGCGAGCGUUGUCCGGAAUUACUGGGCGUAAAGAGCUCGUAGGUGGUUUGUCGCGUUGUUCGUGAAAACUCACAGCUCAACUGUGGGCGUGCGGGCGAUACGGGCAGACUGGAGUACUGCAGGGGAGACUGGAAUUCCUGGUGUAGCGGUGAAAUGCGCAGAUAUCAGGAAGAACACCCGUGGCUAAGGCGGGCUCUCGU
rnacentral:rRNA from 1 species